rnacentral:lncRNA from 1 species
CCCCGCACCUGUCGGUCCCCCACCUCCCGGACCCCCGCGUGGCCCCGCGUCCUCACCUGUCGGUCCCCCAUCUCCCACCUCUGGGACCCCCGCGUGCCCCCGCGCCCUCACCUGUCGGUCCCCCAUCUCCCACCUCCCGGACCCCCCGCGUGCCCCCGCGUCCUCACCUGUCGGUCCCCAUCUCUGGGACCCCCGCGUGCCCCCGCGUCCUCACCUGUCGGUCCCCCAUCUCCCAUCUCUGGGACCCCCGCGUGCCCCCGCGCCCUCACCUGUCGGUCCCCCAUCUCCCACCUCCGGGACCCCCGCGUGCCCCCGCGUCCUCACCUGUCGGUCCCCCAUCUCCCACCUCCGGGACCCCCGCGUGCCCCCGCACCCGCACCUGUCGGUCCCCCAUCUCCGGACCCCCGCGUCCUCACCUGUCGGUCCCCCAUCUCCCACCUCCCGGACCCCCGCGUGCCCCCGCGCCCUCACCUGUCGGUCCCCCACCUCCCACCUCCGGGACCCCCGCGCCCGGUCCCCCCGCGGCCGCCCCUCCCGAGCUCACCGUGCGCCCCGCGCUGCCCGCGCUCCCCGCGCCCCCCCGGCCCGGCGGGCUGCAGCCGCAGUGAGCUCACAGCCGCAUCGCGGCGACACGGGGAGGCGCGCGGCCGGUCGUCGCCGGCGCCGGGUCCAGGCCGAGGGCGGCUGCCCCUCCGCUCGGCAUUGAGGAGGCGGGAGGAGGGGCGCGGCGAGGCGCACGGGAAAUCUGAUAGAGCAAUGAAAGUCCCUGAAAAAUGGAUGACACUCUGGUCCGUGAAGCCCAGAGUUUGUUUGGCCCAGGACAUUCGAGAAGUGUUGGAAACUGGCAUGCCGUGUGGUGCAGCGGGCCACAGGGAUGACGGGACUCUAGCAAAGAGGCUCAGACAGCCUACCUCUAACACCGGAUCCAGAAUCAUCUUCACACGGAAAGGAGAUUCAGGGCAAUGCCACAUCGCCAACCCCCACCCCCAGCGUGACCCUCCUUGCACAAAGAUAAAGCAAGCUGACAUUGGGGAGAGGGGUGAAGGAGACCCCAGAAAUAUUCAGUGA